AAUUUGCAGAGGAUGCUUCUGGCGCGGUGCCUUCCGAGUUCCCUGGAACGGGACGCCACAGAGGGUGAGAGCCCCGUAUGGUCGGACACCAAGCCUGUGUGAAGCUCCUUCGACGAGUCGAGUAGUUUGGGAAUGCUGCUCUAAAUGGGAGGUAAAUCUCUUCUAAAGCUAAAUACCGGCCAGAGACCGAUAGCGCACAAGUAGAGUGAUCGAAAGAUGAAAAGCACCUUGAAAAGGGGGUUAAAUAGUACGUGAAAUUGUUGAAAGGGAAGCACUUAUGACCAGACUUGGGCCGGGCGGCUCAUCAGGGGUUCUCCCCUGUGCACUCCGCCCGGCACAGGCCAGCAUCGGUUCUCGUGGGGGGAUAAGACCGUCAGGAACGUAGCACCCUCCGGGGUGUGUUAUAGCCUGGCGGACGAUACCCCCGUGGGGACCGAGGUCCGCGCUCCGCA
rnacentral:rRNA from 1 species